GAGGAUGAGAACGUCACAGUUACUUUUAUUCUACCCAGGGUCUGCAGGCCUUUUUCCACUUGCACACUGCACUCACUUGUCCAAUGCAUGACACAAAGCCCAAGUGAAACACCUGCUUGCAAAACAAGUCUUGGCCAAAUCAAGAUAAACUACCAAGGUUAGCUCUCUCUACAAAACAAGUUAUUUGUGACUACAGCCACAAAUAUCAGUUCUCUUAAAACUCUCAGAAUUCUUUCUUCCACCCCAGGAUUGUUCUUCAAUCACGAGCCUUUAGGUCCCUGGCAAAAUCCCCCCAAAACAUCACCCGAGAAUGGUCACCCUAAAGUCACUCCUUGAUGAUAAACCCCAGUGACAGCCCAACAGUGUCACUUCCUGAUGUUACCCCCCAGUGAUACCACAACAUCAGCCAACAGCGUCACCCCCCAAUAGCAUCACCCCUUGAUGUUAAACCCGACUGUACCCGCAACUCCACUCCUGUUUCAGGGUACAUUUGGAUCUGACUGACAGGAUGUCUCAGGAGUGUUGGAGUAGGCGUCUUGCGGGGAUACGGGAUGUACGGGACAGGCUUCUCCCUAAGCAUAGUGAGACGGUGCUAUCGUGCUGACCUUGAUGCAGAGAAAACAAGAAAAGGGGAAAGAUGCGAAGGAAUGAGGAAGCAGCCAAAUAAGGCACAAUGUUAUCUAGUGCAAAGCAAUCAGGGUGGAACGUGACAGCACGGUUGCUAGGUAAAAAUAUAUAAGCUGUGUUUAGUAGUGAUUAAACACCAUUUUGCUGCUCAUCAUACUGGUGUGCGUCCGCCGUCAUUUGGUCCUGACCAGGUAAUUAGCCAGCUUGCGCUAGGGCUAACACAGGUGGCCAACAUCAUAGUUGCUGAAAGCAACACAGGAGCAGAGGCAAGCAAACUGCACUGCGAGCAACACAGAGGGUUAUGAGUCGCCCAGUUUCUGGGCUCCACCAGAACAGGGGUGGCCAGCAGGGACAGGGAGGUGAUUGUCCUUCUCUACUCUGCCCUCAUGAGGCCCCAUUUGGAGUACUGCAUCCAGGUCUGGAGCCUCCAAUACGAGAAAGACAGAGCUGUUGGAGAGGGUCCAGAGGAAGGCCAGGCUGAGGGAGCCAGGCUUGUUCAGCCUGGAGAAGAGAAGGCUGCGGGGUGACCCCACUGCAUCCUUCCAGUACCUAAAGGAAGCCUAUAAACAGGAGGGGAGUCAACUCUUUGAAAGGGUAGAUAACAGCAGAACAAGGGGAAAUGGUUUUAAGUUGAAGGAGGGAAGAUUUAGGUUGGAUGUCAGGGGGACAUUCUUUACUGUGAGAGUGGUGAGGUGCUGAAACAGCUGCCCAGGGAGGCUGUGUAUGCCCCGUCCAUCCCUGGAGCUGUUCAAGACCAGGUUGGAUGGGGCUCUGGGCAGCCUGGGCUGGUAUUAAAUGUGGAGGUUGGUGGUCCUGAUUGCCACAGCAGGGUUGAAGCUUCAUGAUCCUUGAGGUCCCUUCCAGCCCCACCAUUCUGUGUCAUCUGUGUGAGUUCACUUCAGCAUACACACCCUCACACACACCCUCACACACACACACACACACACACACACACACAGGCACCCAUAGUAGAUAAUCCCAGUAAGCGAGAAGCAGAAACUCCCUAAGCAAGCGCGCUAUUACUUACCAACCACUGAGAGAUGGCAAAAGGCUGAAAAGGAGAGAAAAGGACCAUGCUGGUGUUGGAUGCCAGCAGGGCAUCAAAUGCUUCAAAGGGCACUUCUCCUCUCUCCCCCAAUGGUUUUCCCAGGGUCUGCAGGCUUUUUUCCACUUCAACACCAUACCCGUGUGGCUGACACAUGAUGCCUGUAGUGACAGAAAGACAGGGUGGUCUUAAC
ensembl:lncRNA